AAAAAACAAAAGAAAAAAAAAACCAGAAAAAGAAAACGGGAAGGGAGGGAAAAGAAAAGAAGAGAAGGCAGAGAGUCUCAUCUCCUUUCUCUCUUCUAUUGGGUUGUUUUCCUUCCUUACAGAAGAUUUACGAGGUUAGUAUUUGAAUUUUCAUAUAUAUUAGUUGGAUUUUCCUUUAAAUUUAGACUCCACAUUCUUUAAAAAGAUUCACUGCUUUGGUUCUUCUCUGUCAUUUCACCGCCUUUCGGCAAAAUCAAUAUAGUUACCCUGUAGUUUUUUCCAACCAUGGAUGGAGUAUCAAUAAAAUUUUAACAGGGAGAUAAUCUUAACUGUCUGAUUUUUUUCCAUUUUCUACCAGACCACUCACUUUUUUAUUCUUAACCAUCCAUUUGGUAGACUUUGAUUGGUCGGUUAGGACUGCCUUAAUCAGUGUAGUUUUAGAGAUAUGGUUCAUUUAAAAAGGAACCAACAAUUUGAAUGGUCUGAAUUGUUGUACCGGUACAACCAUGUGACGGAUAAGGAACCAGAUUGUUUUUUUCCAACCAACUUAAUUGCCCUGAUUGUUUUGUUAAAUUACCAAAAAAGCCAAACAUUUAUCAUGUUAUGGAUAAUAAGUACAGGGAAUGAUCACAUACUCAGACAUAUUUCAAUUCAAUUUGUACCGGUACCACCAUGUGACGGACAGGGAACCAGAUUGGGUGGUGAAGCCAACAACAACAGGACGGCUUCAGUGGAGUACUGUUAGUUUUUUUUGCUAUUGAUUUAUUUUAUUUUAUUUUUUUAAAAGUUUUGAGUACUGUUUCCGUGAUGGCUUUGGCUGAAUUCGUAUGUUGUUGGAUUUUUAAUUACAAAGUCUGAUUGAGUUUACUUUGAUUCUCUUUUUUCCAAUUCGGUUUUGAAAUUUUGAAUGUUAGAGAAGUGCUACUGUGAUUUGUCUAGAUGUAUUUAAGUGACUAUUUUGUGUGUUCUCUAUACCAUAAUGAUGUCUUUUAGUUUACUUUUGCCAAUCUAUUGCUUUGCUUUUCUGGGCGGGGCAGAUUCCUAUGAUAGUUUAACCAGAAGGAUUCCAAGGAGCUUCUUUUUUUUUUUUUUUCCUCGAUAGCAGGCACAUUUUUUAAAGAAAGCUCAGGGUCUUUGUCUUCUCUCUCCAAAUGGUUCUCUGAUGGGCAGGUGAAUUUGAAUUUCCUUGGAGUUUUAUUCUCUCUGUCGUUUUGGGGUGGACGAUUUUGAUUUGUGCAAAAUGUGGUUAUUGAAAGUGUCUUUCAUGCAAGCAAUGGAUAAUCUAGUGGAAAUUAUUUGCAUCGAUUUGGAGGUGGUUUGGCAGCUUGGAUUUUGGCAAUUUUGGUGCUUUUGAAGGAAACAAAUAUUCGCAUGCUUCCCCUUUUGCAAGAAUAAUGGAGGGUGGUUAUGCUCGGCGGCUUCUACAAGUAAAGUUGUUUUCUUGUAUUUCUUUGUACUUCACCGUUUAGCAUAUAGAUUGUGGAACCACAAUAUGUUUACUUAGCAGCAACCAUGUCUGAACAAAUGAAAAGGGCUUAGAUGAAAUUGUCUUCAAGGUGAUGGGAAGAGCUAUAAAUAAAAUUGUUAUGAUCGUGGAGCUGAUUAAGUUGGUGCCAGGUGUCACAGAGUUCGUGAUAGCAGAACUGCUUUACUUGCAAUGAAUGGGAUCCAAACCAGCCAAUUUACCUUUACAUCAAUUCAACUGGAAUGACUCGUGAUGAUGGUGAAACGGUCCCCGAAUGCAUCAGGCUUUUUGAAUGCACAAUUUGUAUACUUGUGAAUGGGAAGUAAACAUUUUGUCUCAUUGUAAAGACAAUUUCUCUGAUAUAUGCUAUUGAUCAAAGGAAUAA